rnacentral:tRNA from 1 species
GGGAGUAGAUGGGUGCUGGUGUGCCCCACGGUCUUCAAAACCGAUGUUGGCGUGAUGAGCGCCUGGGUGGGUUCGAUUCCCACAUAUUCCCGCCA